UGUAUUAAUUUUUCUGUUUUACUAUUCUUGACUUAUUUUGAGACUUAUCUAUUUGAAUUUUGUUUCAGAACAUGGAGCCCACAAAGUCAAUAAGUGAAAUUCUGCGAUGAAAAAGCCAUUGAUGCUGGAAUACGUGUGUCGAAUCUGUUGUUCUUGAAUAACGUUGAAAGACGAAUGUGCGAAUGAAUGAAGAGUUUCCAACGAUGACAUCAUGUACUGUGGGGACUCUGAAUUUGAAAAAUAGACCUGCCCAAUGGUUCGUGCAAUUAUGACAUCUACCAACUGUGCAUUCUGAUAUUUUGAUUGUUUCACGAGUAAGUAAGUAUGUACUUACUGAAACAGUGUCAGUUGCAAAGCAUCCCAGUACCCAUCCUUUA